rnacentral:rRNA from 1 species
GAUGAACGCUGGCGGCGUGCCUAAUACAUGCAAGUUGAUCGAACAGACGAGGAGCUUGCUCCUCUGACGUUAGCGGCGGACGGGUGAGUAACACGUGGAUAACCUACCUAUAAGACUGGGAUAACUUCGGGAAACCGGAGCUAAUACCGGAUAAUAUAUUGAACCGCAUGGUUCAAUAGUGAAAGACGGUUUUGCUGUCACUUAUAGAUGGAUCCGCGCCGCAUUAGCUAGUUGGUAAGGUAACGGCUUACCAAGGCAACGAUGCGUAGCCGACCUGAGAGGGUGAUCGGCCACACUGGAACUGAGACACGGUCCAGACUCCUACGGGAGGCAGCAGUAGGGAAUCUUCCGCAAUGGGCGAAAGCUUGACGGAGCAACGCCGCGUGAGUGAUGAAGGUCUUCGGAUCGUAAAACUCUGUUAUUAGGGAAGAACAAAUGUGUAAGUAACUAUGCACGUCUUGACGGUACCUAAUCAGAAAGCCACGGCUAACUACGUG